GUAGAGAUGUGGAGGAACACCGAUGGCGAAGGCAGCCCCCUGGGAUGACACUGACGCUCAUGUACGAAGGCGUGGGUAGCAAACAGGAUUAGAUACCCUGGUAGUCCACGCCCUAAACGAUGUCAACUGGUUGUUGGGGGAGUGAAAUCCCUUAGUAACGAAGCUAACGCGUGAAGUUGACCGCCUGGGGAGUACGGUCGCAAGAUUAAAACUCAAAGGAAUUGACGGGGACCCGCACAAGCGGUGGAUGAUGUGGAUUAAUUCGAUGCAACGCGAAAAACCUUACCUACCCUUGACAUGUCCGGAAUCCUGCUGAGAGGUGGGAGUGCCCGAAAGGGAAUCGGAACACAGGUGCUGCAUGGCUGUCGUCAGCUCGUGUCGUGAGAUGUUGGGUUAAGUCCCGCAACGAGCGCAACCCUUAUCAUUAGUUGUUACGCAAGGGCACUCUAAUGAGACUGCCGGUGACAAACCGGAGGAAGGUGGGGAUGACGUCAAGUCCUCAUGGCCCUUAUGGGUAGGGCUUCACACGUCAUACAAUGGUCGGUACAGAGGGUUGCCAAGCCGCGAGGCGGAGCCAAUCCCAGAAAGCCGAUCGUAGUCCGGAUUGUUCUCUGCAACUCGAGAGCAUGAAGUCGGAAUCGCUAGUAAUCGCGGAUCAGCAUGUCGCGGUGAAUACGUUCCCGGGUCUUGUACACACCGCCCGUCACACCAUGGGAGUGGAAUCUGGCAGAAGUAGGUAGCCUAACCGCAAGG
rnacentral:rRNA from 1 species